rnacentral:rRNA from 1 species
GCAUAUCAAUAAGCGGAGGAAAAGAAACUAACAAGGAUUCCCCUAGUAACGGCGAGUGAAGCGGGAAGAGCUCAAAUUUGAAAUCUGGUGGCCUCAGGUCAUCCGAGUUGUAAUCUAUAGAAGUGUUUUCCGUGCUGGCUCAUGUACAAGUCCGUUGGAACACGGCGUCAUAGAGGGUGAGAAUCCCGUCCUUGACAUGAACUACCAGUGCUCUGUGAUACAUUUUCAACGAGUCGAGUUGUUUGGGAAUGCAGCUCAAAAUGGGUGGUAAAUUCCAUCUAAAGCUAUAUAUUGGCGAGAGACCGAUAGCGAACAAGUACCGUGAGGGAAAGAUGAAAAGCACUUUGGAAAGAGAGUUAAACAGUAUGUGAAAUUGUUAAAAGGGAAACGAUUGAAGUCAAUCAUGGCUUGUAGAAGCAAUUCUGCGAGUCAGGGUCAACAUCAGUUUUGAUCGCUGGAUAAAGGCAGGAGGAACGUAGCACUCUCGGGUGAACUUAUAGCCUCUUGUCACAUACAGUGGUUGGGACUGAGGAACGCAGCAUGCCUUUAUGGCCGGGGUUCGCCCACGUACAUGCUUAGGAUGUUGACAUAAUGGCUUUAAACGACCCGUCUUGAAACACGGACC